CUUUUCUAUUUGACUUUAUGAGUUUAGGGUUGAGAAUCUGAAUCCUCAGUGAAGAGGGAAGAGGAGAGAAUGAAAUCCUUGAGUGUUUCACUAGUGGUCCUGUGGCUUCAGCUACACUGGGUGAGAAGCCAGCAGAAGGUGCAGCAGAGCCCAGAAUCCCUCAGUGUCUCAGAGGGAGCCAUGGCCUCUCUUAACUGCACUUUCAGUGAUCUUAAUUUUCAGUAUUUCUGGUGGUACAGACAGCAUUCUGGGGAAGGCCUCAAGGCACUGAUGUCCAUCUUCUCCAAUGGUGACAAGACAGAAGGCAGAUUCACAGUUCAUCUCAGUAAAGCCAGCCUUCAAGUUUCCCUGCACAUCAGAGACUCCCGUCCUGGUGACUCUGCUCUCUACUUCUGUGCAGUGUUGUAUCUCCUUUUCUCCAUCACCCUGCCCCCAGAAACCCGCAUCUCAUCUCCUCAACUUCUGCUUCUAUGAGGGUACGCCCCCACCGAACCACCCACUCCCAUCUCCCU